rnacentral:rRNA from 1 species
UGGGGAAUAUUGGACAAUGGGGGCAACCCUGAUCCAGCGACGCCGCGUGGGUGAAGAAGGCCUGCGGGUUGUAAAGCCCUUUCGGUGGGGAAGAAAAGUUGCGACCAAACACGUCGUGACCCUGACGUAACCCACUAAAGAAGCACCGGCUAACUCUGUGCCAGCAGCCGCGGUAAUACAGAGGGUGCGAGCGUUAAUCGGAAUUACUGGGCGUAAAGCGCGCGUAGGCGGCUUUGCAAGCCGGAUGUGAAAUCCCCGGGCUCAACCUGGGAACUGCAUUCGGGACUGCAUUGCUUGAGUAUGGGAGAGGGAAGUGGAAUUUCAGGUGUAGCGGUGAAAUGCGUAGAUAUCUGAAGGAACAUCAGUGGCGAAAGCGACUUCCUGGACCAAUACUGACGCUCAUGUGCGAAAGCGUGGGGAGCAAACAG